rnacentral:rRNA from 1 species
GACGAACGCUGGCGGCGUGCUUAACACAUGCAAGUCGAACGGAAAGGCCCUGCUUUUGUGGGGUGCUCGAGUGGCGAACGGGUGUGUAACACGUGGGUAACCUGCCCUUGACUUUGGGAUAACUUCAGGAAACUGGGGCUAAUACCGGAUAGGAGCUCCUGCUGCAUGGUGGGGUUUGGAAAGUUUCGGCGGUUGGGGAUGGACUCGCGGCUUAUCAGCUUGUUGGUGGGGUAGUGGCUUACCAAGGCUUUGACGGGUAGCCGGCCUGAGAGGGUGACCGGCCACAUUGGGACUGAGAUACGGCCCAGACUCCUACGGGAGGCAGCAGUGGGGAAUAUUGCACAAUGGGCGGAAGCCUGAUGCAGCGACGCCGCGUGCGGGAUGACGGCCUUCGGGUUGUAAACCGCUUUCGCCUGUGACGAAGCGUGAGUGACGGUAAUGGGUAAAGAAGCACCGGCUAACUACGUG